UAAAUCACCCAUAAAUCUUAACCUAAGGAUGGGCAUUGAAGAUAUGUAAGUAGUUAAGUCAAUUUGAUUACCCUUUUCUGACCGGAGUUUGAUUCUACUAAAUCGCGUUAUCUUGCGUAGUAUGGAUUGACUAUACAUCGAGUCUUGUGGAUCCAAAAAUGUAUAUAAAAUAAAAGAUGGGCACAAAUACUUGGUAAUUUUCCUUUAUCCACCUUGAAAACAUAAACACUCAUCAUUAUUAAGAUAACUAAUACUCAUUCUAUUUCAUAUUAGUUGUAGUUUAAGGUUUUUACACACAUAUUAAGAAAGUUUUUAAAAAUUCAUUUAAUAUAUCUCUUUUAUAUAAAAACAUCAUUUAUUAUAACCAAUUCAACCAAUAAAAAAUAUAUAAUUAAGUAUAGUUGGUUAAAA
rnacentral:sRNA from 1 species